UACGUAGGGUGCAAGCGUUGUCCGGAAUUAUUGGGCGUAAAGAGCUCGUAGGCGGUUUGUCGCGUCGGCUGUGAAAACUCGGGGCUCAACCCCGAGCCUGCAGUCGAUACGGGCAAACUUGAGUGCGGUAGGGGAGACUGGAAUUCCUGGUGUAGCGGUGAAAUGCGCAGAUAUCAGGAGGAACACCGAUGGCGAAGGCAGGUCUCUGGGCCACUACUGACGCUGAGAAGCGAAAGCAUGGGGAGCGAACAGG
rnacentral:rRNA from 1 species